rnacentral:rRNA from 1 species
UACGUAGGGUGCAAGCGUUGUCCGGAAUUAUUGGGCGUAAAGAGCUCGGUAGGUGGCCUGUCGCGUCGGCUGUGAAAACUCGGGGCUCAACUCCGAGCUUGCAGUCGAUACGGGCAGGCUAGAGUUCGGCAGGGGAGACUGGAAUUCCUGGUGUAGCGGUGAAAUGCGCAGAUAUCAGGAGGAACACCGGUGGCGAAGGCGGGUCUCUGGGCCGAUACUGACGCUGAGGAGCGAAAGCGUGGGGAGCGAACGGG